rnacentral:rRNA from 1 species
AAAUGAAUUGACGGGGACCCGCACAAGCAGCGGAGCAUGUGGUUUAAUUCGAAGCAACGCGAAGAACCUUACCAGGGCUUGACAUGCCACUGACCGGUCUAGAGAUAGGCCUUUACCUUCGGGUACAGUGGACACAGGUGGUGCAUGGUUGUCGUCAGCUCGUGUCGUGAGAUGUUGGGUUAAGUCCCGCAACGAGCGCAACCCUUGCCUUUAGUUGCAAACAGUUAGGCUGUGCACUCUAGAGGGACUGCCGAUGAUAAAUCGGAGGAAGGUGGGGAUGACGUCAAAUCAUCAUGCCCUUUAUGUCCUGGGCUACACACGUGCUACAAUGGUCGGUACAACGAGCAGCUACACAGCGAUGUGAUGCAAAUCUCUUAAAGCCGAUCCCAGUUCGGAUUGUAGGCUGCAACUCGCCUACAUGAAGUUGGAGUUGCUAGUAAUCGCGAAUCAGAAUGUCGCGGUGAAUGCGUUCCCGGGUCUUGUACACACCGCCCGU